AGUGAACGCUGGCGGUAGGCCUAACACAUGCAAGUCGAACGGCAGCACAGUAAGAGCUUGCUCUUACGGGUGGCGAGUGGCGGACGGGUGAGGAAUACAUCGGAAUCUACUUUUUCGUGGGGGAUAACGUAGGGAAACUUACGCUAAUACCGCAUACGACCUACGGGCGAAAGCAGGGGAUCUUCGGACCUUGCGCGAUUGAAUGAGCCGAUGUCGGAUUAGCUAGUUGGCGGGGUAAAGGCCCACCAAGGCGACGAUCCGUAGCUGGUCUGAGAGGAUGAUCAGCCAAACUGGAAAUGAGACACGGUCCAGACUCCUACGGGAGGGAGCAGUGGGGAAUAUUGGACAAUGGGCGCAAGCCUGAUCCAGCCAUACCGCGUGGGUGAAGAAGGCCUUCGGGUUGUAAAGCCCUUUUGUUGGGAAAGAAAAGCAGCAGGUUAAUACCCCGCUGUUCUGACGGUACCCAAAGAAUAAGCACCGGCUAACUUCGUG
rnacentral:rRNA from 1 species